rnacentral:rRNA from 1 species
AAAAUUUAAUUUUUUUUAUGUUGACCUAACACAAGAGCAUUUCAAGUAAGAUUAAAAGAAAAAGAAGGAACUCGGCAAAUAUUAACCUCGCCUGUUUACCAAAAACAUCGCCUCUUGCCCCAAUAUAAGAGGUCCAGCCUGCCCAGUGACUCUGUUCAACGGCCGCGGUAUCCUAACCGUGCGAAGGUAGCGUAAUCACUUGUUCUUUAAAUGAGGACUAGUAUGAACGGCACCACGAGGGUUAUACUGUCUCCUUUUUCCAAUCAGUGAAACUAAUCCCCCCGUGAAGAAGCGGGGAUAAACAUAUAAGACGAGAAGACCCUAUGGAGCUUUAAACUCAAUAACACUUGCUUUUAAACAUAAAUACUUCAGAGUAAUAAACACCCAUUACGGCCUCCUGAUUAUUAGUUUUAGGUUGGGGUGACCGCGGAGCAAAAAACAACCUCCACAUUGAACGGGGAACAUCCCCUGAGCCACGAGCCACAACUCUAUGCACCAAUAAAUUGACAUCUCUUGACCCAAUAUAUUGAUCAACG